rnacentral:rRNA from 1 species
AGUGAACGCUGGCGGUAGGCCUAACACAUGCAAGUCGAACGGCAGCACAGUAAGAGCUUGCUCUUACGGGUGGCGAGUGGCGGACGGAUGAGGAAUACAUCGGAAUCUACAUUUUCGUGUGGGAUAACGUAGUGAAACUUACGCUAAUACCGCAUACGACCUACGGGUGAAAGCAGGGGAUCUUCGCACCUUGCGGGAUUGAAUGAGCCGCUGUCGGAUUAGCUAGUUGGCGGGGUAAAGGCCCACCAAGGCGACGAUCUGUAGCUGGUCUGAGAGGAUGAGCAGCCACACUGGAACUGAGACACGGCCCAGACGCCUACGGGGGGCAGCAGUGGGGAAUAGGGGACAAGGGGCGCAAGCCUGAUCCAGCCAUACCGCGUGGGUGAAGAAGGCCUUCGGGUUGUAAAGCCCUUUUGUUGGGAAAGAAAAGCAUCAGGUUAAUACCCCGCUGUUCUGACGGUACCCAAAGAAUAAGCACCGGCUAACUUCGUG